UGACGAGUGGCGGACGGGUGAGUAAUGCUUGGGAACUUGCCUUUGCGAGGGGGAUAACAGUUGGAAACGACUGCUAAUACCGCAUAAUGUCUACGGACCAAACGGGGCUUAGGCUCCGGCGCAAAGAGAGGCCCAAGUGAGAUUAGCUAGUUGGUAAGGUAAUGGCUUACCAAGGCAACGAUCUCUAGCUGUUCUGAGAGGAAGAUCAGCCACACUGGAACUGAGACACGGUCCAGACUCCUACGGGAGGCAGCAGUGGGGAAUAUUGCACAAUGGGGGAAACCCUGAUGCAGCCAUGCCGCGUGUGUGAAGAAGGCCUUCGGGUUGUAAAGCACUUUCAGUUGUGAGGAAAAGUUAGUAGUUAAUACCUGCUAGCCGUGACGUUAACAACAGAAGAAGCACCGGCUAACUCCGUGCCAGCAGCCGCGGUAAUACGGAGGGUGCGAGCGUUAAUCGGAAUUACUGGGCGUAAAGCGCACGCAGGCGGUUUGUUAAGCUAGAUGUGAAAGCCCCGGGCUCAACCUGGGAUAGUCAUUUAGAACUGGCAGACUAGAGUCUUGGAGAGGGGAGUGGAAUUCCAGGUGUAGCGGUGAAAUGCGUAGAUAUCUGGAGGAACAUCAGUGGCGAAGGCGACUCCCUGGCCAAAGACUGACGCUCAUGUGCGAAAGUGUGGGUAGCGAACAGGAUUAGAUACCCUGGUAGUCCACACCGUAAACGCUGUCUACUAGCUGUUUGUGACUUUAAGUCGUGAGUAGCGAAGCUAACGCGCUAAGUAGACCGCCUGGGGAGUACGGCCGCAAGGUUA
rnacentral:rRNA from 1 species